UGCUCUGCUACUUUCAAAAAUUGAGGUAUAUGGUUGAAAAAAUUUUUUGAGAAUAAUUUUAUUCUUUUGGCUUCUUACUCAUGGCUUUACGCUUAUUAACAUCCAGGUAUCUUUUUCUUAGCCGAAUGGCCUUAGGUGUGACCUCAAUGAAUUCAUCAGAAGCAACAUACCCGAUGGCUUCUUCUAGAGUCAUCAGGCGAGGUGGAGAUAGUCUCACAUUCUCGUCUUUGCAAGCGGCACGCACAUUAGUAAGUUCCUUGGUCCUAACUGGGUUAACAUCAAGAUCUGUAUCCCGUGAAUGUUCACCAACAAUCAUGCCAUCAUAUGUCUCCAUUCCAGGAGUAACGAAGAGUGUUCCGCGAGCUUCUAAACUCAUUAAUGCAUGUGCUGUGAUUGUACCAUAGCCCAUUGAUACCAAUACCCCCUUCCUAACGUUUCCAAGUGGGCCCCGAUGUUUUGCAUAGUUCAGGAAAGCCCGAUGCAUAAAUCCUGUUCCACGAGUGUCACUGCUGAACACACUCCUAUAACCAACCAGACCCCUUGAUGGAGAAGUCAAAGACAAUCUAGUCCUGCCAACAUGUCCAGGAACAGGACCCAUAUCAACAACUUCUGCUCGCCUAUGAGAUAGAGCCUCCAUAAUUAAUCCCACAUGCUCUUCAUUUACCUCAAUGGUUACUUCUUCAAUUGGUUCAAGCUUCUCACCUUUCUCAGUUUUAUACAUGACUUUUGGUGGUGAGACAGACAGCUCAAAUCCUUCACGCCUCAUAUUCUCAAUCAAAAUUCCAAGUUGAAGUUCCCCUCUCCCUUGUACCUCAUACGAUUCUGAUAAGCCAGGAAUCACAUUUAUGGCAAGGUUAGUUUCAGCUUCAGCCAUUAACCGAUCACCAAUUUUUCCUCCUGUCAAAUGGGUACCAUCUCGGCCAGCUAAUGGAGAGUCAUUUACACCAAAGGUCAUGGAUAUGGUUGGAGGGUCCAAUUCAAC
rnacentral:misc_RNA from 1 species